GACGAACGCUGGCGGCGUGCCUAAUACAUGCAAGUCGAACGCACGAAGUUGAAGAGCUUGCUCUUUAACCAAGUGAGUGGCGGACGGGUGAGUAACACGUGGGUAACCUGCCCAUUAGAGGGGGAUAACAUUCGGAAACGGAUGCUAAUACCGCAUAGUUUCAGGAAUCGCAUGAUCCUUGAAGGAAAGGUGGCUUCGGCUACCACUAAUGGAUGGACCCGCGGCGUAUUAGCUAGUUGGUGAGGUAAUGGCUCACCAAGGCAAUGAUACGUAGCCGACCUGAGAGGGUGAUCGGCCACACUGGGACUGAGACACGGCCCAGACUCCUACGGGAGGCAGCAGUAGGGAAUCUUCCGCAAUGGACGAAAGUCUGACGGAGCAACGCCGCGUGAGUGAAGAAGGUUUUCGGAUCGUAAAACUCUGUUGUUAAAGAAGAACAAGGAUGAGAGUAACUGCUCAUCCCCUGACGGUAUUUAACCAGAAAGCCACGGCUAACUACGUGCCAGCAGCCGCGGUAAUACGUAGGUGGCAAGCGUUGUCCGGAUUUAUUGGGCGUAAAGCGAGCGCAGGCGGUUCUUUAAGUCUGAUGUGAAAGCCCCCGGCUCAACCGGGGAGGGUCAUUGGAAACUGGAGAACUUGAGUGCAGAAGAGGAGAGUGGAAUUCCACGUGUAGCGGUGAAAUGCGUAGAUAUGUGGAGGAACACCAGUGGCGAAGGCGACUCUCUGGUCUGUAACUGACGCUGAGGCUCGAAAGCGUGGGGAGCAAACAGG
rnacentral:rRNA from 1 species